GACAGUCAAAAAUGUAGACAAAAAUAAACUUGAGUGGACUUGAACAAUAGGAUCGUUCCAUGUUUCCACUCUGUAUAAACUUUACACUUCACGGUUUAAAGGUUAUGUUUAUGUUAACACUGCUUACUGCUUAGUGCUUACAUGCUUACACUUUACAGUGCGUUAUACAUUUUAUAAUUAUUUAUUAUUAUUAGAACUCACUUCAAGUUACAAAUCAAAGUCGAGUCAGAUCUGUAAUGCAGCAUCUGGACAAUGCUUCAACAAUGAUCAAGUCUGAACUUUCCUUGUUGGACUAGACCCAACAACAGUGAUUUUUCAUGUGAGGAAAAAACACUACAUCGAAAAUUUGAAACAAAUUAGUCACACAAGGUGUUUUUUUUAAUGAUAGAAAUAAAAAGUCUUGAUAUUCUACAUAA